UUGAGGCGGAGAAGUCUUGUGUGGAGAGCUGACUAGAAACUGAGUACUUUCCGUAGCUUGUGAAGGCUAUGUCCAUCAUGGCAGGCUACCUCCAUCAUGGCAGAGCUAGUCCUUGGCCUAGGAAGUUAGGAAUCCCAUCUGUCCUGGUUUGCUUCCUGUUCUGUGAUAGAACACUGGCCCAUGCCAAAGUGGGGGAGGAAGGAGUUUGUUUGUACAGUUGUUGAAGGAAGCCAAGGCAGGAACCUGAGGGCAGGAACCGAAUCAGAGGCCAUGCAAGAGUGCGUCUUACUGCCUCGCUUCAUUUGGCUGGCUCAGUCAGCUGUCUUACAUAGCCCAGGCCCAUCUGCCCACGGACCGGAUGGUGCUCAUGAAUCAGUUAGCAACCAAGAAAAUGCCCUAUAAACACAGACAGGCAAAUCUGAUGGAGGCAAUUCCUGGAUUGGGAUUCCCUCUUCUCAGAAAUACUUAGUCUUAUGUCAAGUUGACAAAACUACGACACCGUUUUCCCAGCACACCGAGGAAAGGCCGUCCUUUUAGGACCUGGCGUCACUCACUACAUUCUCAUAGCUUGUUCUACAGGGGCAUCUUCAGACUUCAGGGAGCAGCAUAGUCACAGAACUGAAAAUGCCGGGAUUGGCAGAGCUCUGACGAACUUUAAACACACCAGGAGUAGUUGGAUUCAAGACGAGCCUCCCAACAAGAACAAAGCAAAGUGCCAUCGAGAAAUUCUCACUGUGAGUGUUUAGUCUGAUUUUUUUUUCCUUUGGGCAUUACUUGCAUAAUUACUCACAUCCCCCUCCACUAGGGUCUGGUUUUCUUCUUGCUUUUGUGGCUAAUUUUAUAUCCAUGGGUUUUUUUCUUUCAAACAUAGGUCUGCUACACUUGCUUGGGAUUCUAUGUAUCACCAAAUGUCAGUUCUGCCUCUUUGAGCCUGCCAUCUGUCAGUCACCUUUAUCAGUUUCAAGUGUUCACGAACAUUGCCUUGAGACAUUCUCAGAGCCGACCUUUGGAGUUUAUUCUCAUCACUGAAAAAGUUGCUAUAGUUAUUUUGUAGUUCAUUCAUUCCAUAAACAUUUAUUAUGUACCUACUGUGUGCAGGAACUGUGCUAAGUUCUGGGGUAGCUAUUGACAAGAAGGCAUAUUAGUUAUUUUUACUGUCAUGUGUCCAGAUACUUGACAGAAGCAGAGAGGGUUGAUCGUGGCUCCUCGUUUCAGAGGUAUCAAGCCACCAUGGUGGGAGGGUAUGGCAGGGAAGAGCAUAACACAGAAGCUCAUGUCGCGGUGAUGAAGAAGGAGAGAACGGGGCGGGGGGAACGGACAUGUGGGUGCUGCUCUGGUCUCCUCUUUCGGUUGGUUCAGGCUUCCAGACUAUGGAUGGUACCAUCCAUGUUCAUAGUGGGUCUUCCCCUCAAUCAAUCUCUAGAAGUCACAGACACACCCAUCUCCCAGGCCAUUCAAAAUCCAUCCACGUUGCCAAUGAAGACGAACCAUUACAGAUGUGCACCGUCUGCUCCUUUGGUAUUGUUUCCAUUGCUUCCAGAGCCCAGCAGGCCUUUGGCUCCUUCCCUUAUCUCUUUUUGUGUCCUGCCCGUGAGGUGAGUGUCAUUGGUCUGUCACACUCUCUCAGGAUGAUGUCCUGCCCUGCCAAAGCAUUGGGGUCAAUUCACCAAGGACUAGACCCUCUGAUAGUAUAAGCCAACAUAAAAUGUGUCUCUUUUCAAGCUUAUUGUCUCGGGUAUGUUGUUAGAGAGAUGGAAAUCUGACACACACAUCCCUGUUGAAGGCUCCAUGGACUUGUAUACUUUCUUGCCGGAGGUUGCAGAAGAGGCACUAAAUCCAGGCUGGGGAUGCACAGGGUGAUGAGGUCUGAGGGCAGCACCUUCUGGUUCCUUUGCUGAUGUCUUUGGUGCUGUCCCCACGAGCUUCCUCUUAGCCCGUUAGGACCCUGUUCUCCAAACCCUAUCACUAAAUGUACAUUCCCAUAGAAUGAGUUCUUUCCCUGAAAAUCCUUUUAUGUUCCCCGCUGCAUAUGGUUUCUUUGCUUUCCUGCUCCUUCUGCCCUCCGGAUACCUGAAGACAUCGCGAGCUCCUCCUAAAUAUCUCCAGGGUCAAGUCAGAGCACGUGCCACAGAUCAAUUUGAUGUUAUCCACGAAGUACGUAUACUCAUAAGAGAGAGAAUUAAUCUAGGCCCUCGUCAAGGACCUCACACAGUAAGGAGGAAGAAAAAGAAUGAGGGGAGGAAAAGAGAAGGAAAUGAAAGAUGACGACUGGAAUACAUUCUGUACAGCGAGCUCUAGGAGUACAUAAAAAGCAUUAAUAAUUGAAAAUAGAGGAAUGUAUGGAAAUAAUGGUCUGUUGUUAUUACAUGAUUUGAAUACAUUUUUUUUACAAGAGUUUAUGUUACCCAGGUAGCAUAACCUCUAUUUUAGAAGUGAUGAAGAGAAGCACGACCAUUAAUUUUCAGAAGGCGCAAUAUAGCUGGAAUACAUAACACGAUCUUAAAAGCAGCGUUCCAAGGACAGUAUGAAAGCCCAAUAUUUAAACAUACUCACUUUGUAAUUCCAGGGGUAGAGAUGGCAUUUCUUCAGUUAUUUCAGAUACCUAGGUUGAGCCAAACUCACAUCAACCAUUUCUUACAAUCCGUGUGAGAAAAUAACAACACAGGAAUUGCUUAUCCCGAGUGUAAGAAGCCGCAGUAUCAGCAGGAAAGUCUGACUGCGGCAGGCUUUUCACACCCCAGAGAGGCAGAGCCUCACGCUGCGAGCCGCGGAGGCCCCGCUGGGAAAGGGCGAGCGCUGGCUGGGUUGCUCCUGUAGCUGGGCUCUCUGCAUUUUAUGGCUCAGCAAUAAGCGGGGGAAUACGUGAAAUGAGGACAGGUCUAUUAAAGGUAUCGUGUAGCUUUUGGUUGCACAUAUUUAAACUGCUUAUAAACAGGUCAGACCUUCUGUCUUUCAUACGUGUUUAAUCAGUUACAAAGGUGUCCUUCCGCUUUGCAAAACAGUAUAACUCGGAGGCUGAUCUUGGUGUUCCAACCCCAAAGGGGGCGGGAGAUGUCAGAUCCACGGUUAUAAGGAGUCUCAUGCAUAUGGAACGAUGUCUUGUGGGUGGGAAGAAACAGAUCUGGAGAGGCUAUUUCUUCCCAGCUGAAAUCUUACAGUAAAUUUAAUUGCACGCCCUUAAGCAAAGGCCUCCGGUCCAGCUAGACAGGGAAAAGUUUCCUCAGAAAGGGACGUUUAUGGACUGCUCGGCUACGCUCUCUCCAGGGAGACCUGCUUUAACGGUUCCCGUUAGGUGCUUCCCCUUUGGGGAGACUCCGAUCCGGACGAAGUGAGUGAGCAGGGGACAGGACAGGGAUCUCUGACAAUGGAGCUGUGCCCAAACUAGAAUGCACAACGGGUACUAGCCACGCCGCCUCUCUCAGUUGUGGUAACACAACUUCCGUCUUGAACUAGAGCCGAGAGACAAGAAGCGCGCGGACUCUAAGAGAUCGGAUCAGGCAAAGUGGGUGCACUGUGUAAGAUCUGGACAGGAGUUUGACUCCUCCUUCAUUUGACUUACUUUAGGGGAAAGCAAGCACUGUUUUUGUGUUCAGACCCUCCGUAAGCACCUGCAGGCUUGUGUUCGCCACCGUCACCACCGGGGCGGAGUGUUUCUUUCCUCCUGGAUCCAAACACCACUCAUGCUGAUGUUUGUGGAUCCAGAUAGACAAACGCUCUGAUUGGCAGAGCAUAGGCUGUGACUCUUUCUGUCAAUCACAGUAGCCAAGCCCUCUCUCACUCGUGGUCUGAGAAUGAGUGCGGGCUCUAUGAACCCCAAGAUUAAAAACAAGACCAGAACACCGACGUGAGUUGGAAGACGAUCUUUGCUUUUGGGCAGAAUGACUCAAUCUCACAGGAAAAUAGUACAUAUUUUAAGAGUAGCCCAAUUAAAAUGCCAAUGAAUUUCCUCCUAGAGUAUGACAAAUUUAGUUUGAAGAUAAUUUGAAAAAAAAAGAAACUAACUUUUCACCACCAACAAAGAAAGGAUAGUGUGGUUCUCAACCUUCCUAAUGCUGCCACCCUUUAAUACAAUUUUAUGUUGUGGUGGCCUCAACCCUAAAAUUAUUUCAUAACUGUAAUUUUGUUACUGGAAAUAGAAUGGAAUUUCAUAAUGGAAAUAUCUGGUAUGCGACCCCAAGGGGCUUGCGACCUACAGGUUGAUAACCACUGCGCUAAAUGAAGAGCUAUGGAAGAAAUUGUGCUUUAUUCUGCUACUGUUUUUAAUAUCCUAUGCAUGAUUUAUUAUCAUAUACAUAUCUUAUUUACAUAUAUUAUUAUUGAUUUUUCUCUAGGUAUUUCUUUUUUUUUUUUUUUCUAGGCUGGGAUUUAAGGCUUGUGCCACCACCGCCCGGCGAGGAUAUUUCUUUAGACAGUUUUUCCAUGUGCAGAUUAUACAGUCGUCAGAAGUACCGGACGUGACUGAACCCACUCGACAGAAUGAGAGUUGUGUCUACUCAGCACGGAAGGCAAGUCUAAGGCAAGCUUUGUGAUGUUGUUAAUUGGCUGGGGCCGCUGAUGUCCUGUCCAGCUUCGUCGGUCCUCUCAGGCCAUGCGUUCUCUGCCCAUGCUUCUCAUCUUGCUCCUGUAACAUCCUUUUGGGAUUGAUAAGUCCCUGUAUCUAUCCUUGAAUACUUCGGAAAAGUUCUCGGACUCCGAGCUCUCUGAAAACGCACAUUUGAUUGAGUUUUCUGUUUUAAGCGUUUAGCACAGUGCUUGGCAAAUAGGAGCCCUUCUGUUCCUCCGGAGCCUUCAUCAAUUAUAGUUUAUAGCUUUAACUAUCCCUGACCUUAUUUGCAUAGCUCUGCUCAAAGUUCCGUACUGCAGCUUCUAAUGUAUGUUUGGAAAUCGUAUUGCCAGAUGGUCCCAACAGAAAUACCAGGAUCAUUUGAGAAAAAGAUGACCAUAAGCCAAAAAUACACUUGCCAGGAACAGUUGUUUUGAUGACAAUCCACAUUAUAUCUUACAAUUUACAUUAUAUAGUUUUAAGUAAAAAUUGAUUGUUUCAAGAGCACCCUUUUGUCCCUACUGAAUACUAUAUUCAAAAGAGCACGACUUGGGAGUUAACAUCUACUGAGCUGUGUUAAUUGGUUUGUGUAUUAACUAUGACCACCACUGACGUCGUCGUCAUCGGGGAGCUACUUUGAAGUUCAUUUUAGGAUACUUUUCUGAGACUUAUGUAAGUCAGGACAGGGUUUUACCACCGAAUUCAUAUUUUCCAGUGAAUUUUAAUGCUUACAUAUCUUUAUAUGUAUGUUAGCUAAUAAUAAAUGCAUUGCUCCCGACUCCUGGGGCUUAAGGCACAGUUAGCAUGCCUUACCUCUUCUGGGUGCUGGCUGUUCUUUUUGUGAAUCAGGAAGAGGCGUGGCCGAGGCUCUGCACCAGGACGCUCAUGCCUUGGAGUCUCUUGUCCACUGGACCAGCAGCCAUCAGCCAUGUGAAGAUUUACCACGCUGGGCCAGCCACCUGCAUGGUGGCCCACUCACCGUGUUCUUGACAAUCCAAUUAGGCAAUCAUUAUUAUUUAAUUUGCAGAUCAGAAACUGAAAAGGAGUUUGCGCAGGUCAUUACUCCAAGGAAGCUUAAGCUUGAAUUGAAGCAAUUAACUCUGAAGUGUGUGUUUCCUGUUCUUUGUGUAUGAGACAGGGGCUUGCUAUGUAAUCUAGGCCAAACUUGAACUCAUUAUACUGCUGGCCUCAUACUUACGCUUAAGUCUGGGAUUUCGGGUAUGUGUUUGUACUCUUAAAAUUAAACUAAUUUUAAUUUUAUUUUCUAUUUAUUCAAAUAAAAUGCUUUUUCCUGAGUUUUUCA